AACGAACGCUGGCGGCAUGCCUAACACAUGCAAGUCGAACGAGACCUUCGGGUCUAGUGGCGCACGGGUGCGUAACGCGUGGGAACCUGCCCUUAGGUUCGGAAUAACUCCCCGAAAGGGGUGCUAAUACCGGAUAAUGUCUUCGGACCAAAGAUUUAUGGCCUUUGGAUGGGCCCGCGUUGGAUUAGCUAGUUGGUAGUGUAAAAGCCUACCAAGGCGACGAUCCAUAGCUGGUCGGAGAGGAUGAUCAGCCACACUGGGACUGAGACACGGCCCAGACUCCUACGGGAGAGAGCAGAAGGGAAUAUUAGACAAUGGGCGAAAGCCUGAUCCAGCAAUGCCGCGUGAGUGAUGAAUGCCUUAGGGUUGUAAAGCUCUUUUACCCGGGAUGAUAAUGACAGUACCGGGAAAAUAAGCACCGGCUAACUCCGUG
rnacentral:rRNA from 1 species